GAUGAACGCUGGCGGCGUGCCUAAUACAUGCAAGUCGAGCGAACAGAUGAGGAGCUUGCUCCUCUGACGUUAGCGGCGGACGGGUGAGUAACACGUGGAUAACCUACCUAUAAGACUGGGAUAACUUCGGGAAACCGGAGCUAAUACCGGAUAAUAUAUUGAACCGCAUGGUUCAAUAGUGAAAGACGGUUUUGCUGUCACUUAUAGAUGGAUCCGCGCCGCAUUAGCUAGUUGGUAAGGUAACGGCUUACCAAGGCAACGAUGCGUAGCCGACCUGAGAGGGGGAUCGGCCACACGGGAACUGAGACACGGUCCAGACUCCUACGGGAGGCAGCAGUAGGGAAUCUUCCGCAAUGGGCGAAAGCCUGACGGAGCAACGCCGCGUGAGUGAUGAAGGUCUUCGGAUCGUAAAACUCUGUUAUUAGGGAAGAACAAAUGUGUAAGUAACUAUGCACGUCUUGACGGUACCUAAUCAGAAAGCCACGGCUAACUACGUG
rnacentral:rRNA from 1 species